rnacentral:rRNA from 1 species
GACGAACGCUGGCGGCGUGCUUAACACAUGCAAGUCGAACGGAAAGGCCCUGCUUUUGUGGGGUGCUCGUGUGGCGAACGGGGGAGUAACACGUGAGUAACCUGCCCUUGACUUUGGGAUAACUUCAGGGAACUGCGGCUCAUACCCGAGAGAAUCUCCUGCUGCAUGGGGGGGGAUGGAAAGAUACGGCGGUGGGGGCUGGAUUCGCGGCUUAUCAGCUUCUUGGUCGGGUAGUGGCUUACGAAGGCUUUGACGGGUAGCCUGCCUGGGAGGGUGACCGGCCACAUGGGGACUGAGAGACGGCCCAGAAUCCUACGGGAGGCAGCAGUCGGGAAUAUUGCACAAUGGGCGGAAGCCUGAUGCAGCAAUGCCGCGUGCGGGAUGACGUCCUUCGGGUUGUAAACCGCUGUCGCCGGUGACGAAGCGUGAGUGACGGUAAUGGGUAAAGAAGCAACGGCUAACUACGUG